UACAGAGGUCUCAAGCGUUGUUCGGAUUCAUUGGGCGUAAAGGGUGCGUAGGCGGCGCGGUAAGUCGGGUGUGAAAUCUCGGGGCUUAACUCCGAAACUGCAUUCGAUACUGCCCGUGCUUGAGGACUGGAGAGGAGACUGGAAUUUACGGUGUAGCGGUGAAAUGCGUAGAUAUCGUAAGGAAGACCAGUGGCGAAGGCGGGUCUCUGGACAGUUCCUGACGCUGAGGCACGAAGGCCAGGGGGAGCAAAACGGG
rnacentral:rRNA from 1 species